rnacentral:lncRNA from 1 species
CAGCAGAUAAAACCCCACAUCAAUAGAUAACCACUAACAUCCUAGAACCAGUGUUUUGGAAAGCGCAAAGCGCAAAAAAAGCGACAAGGGCUCGCCUCGCUUCAAAGCGCACGCUUUUUUGAAGUGAAGCGCAAUUCUUAAAAAACAUAAUGUAAAAUUAUAAAUAAUCAAAAACAUCAAUCAAUUUUCACACUUUAUUUCUUCCCUCAUAUCCGGUGGACAU